rnacentral:tRNA from 1 species
AUAUCGAUAGCUUAGUUGGUAGUGCGUCUGCCUUGUAAGCGCUAGGCCGCGGGUUCGAUUCCUGCCCGGGGUG